CCUCCCAGCUCCACCUCCCCCAUCUUCCCAACAAUGGCGACAGAAAUCAUCAGCACCACCACACUCAAAGCCACUUCCUCUCCCCCUAACCACCCCAAUAUCAUUCCUCUCACCAUCUUCGACUUCGCCGCCCCCAACUUCCACGUCCCCAUUCUCUACGCCUUUCUUCCCCCAACACCCUCCAACGAAUCCCUCAAAUCCGGCCUCUCCCGCGUCCUCUCUCACUUCCCCCACCUCGCCGGCCGCAUAUCCUCCGAUCACAAUCGCCGUCCAUUCAUAAUCCUCAACAACUACGGCGUCCGCGUCGUGGAAACAGAGAUCUCCGCCACUCUGUCGGAGACGCUCCCUCUCGAUUCCAAUAGCAAUCUCUCUGCGCUUCAUCCUCAUAUUGGGGAAGGAGUUGAGGAGCUUCUUCAGAUUCAGCUCAACCGCUACGCUUGCGGCGGACUUGUGAUCGGCACCACGUCGCAUCAUCGAGUCGCCGACGGUCAGUCGAUGAGCGUUUUCUUCGCCGCGUGGGCGAAGAUGGUUCGGGUUGGAGAAGCUCCGAACCCGCCGCCGUUUCUCGAUCGCAACGCCGUGGUUGAGCCCAGGAAUCCGCCGAGAUGCGAGUUCGAUCACCGAUCGAUUGAGUUCAAGUCUUCCGGAACUGGAUCCUCGAUCGAAGCAACAUGCACAAUUAAAAAUCUGAAAGUCCGCUUCUCAUCCGACUUCAUCACCAAGGUCAAAUCCGGCGUUCGCUGCAGCACAUUCGAAGCCCUCCUUGCCCAUCUCUGGCGCAAGAUAUCCGCGGCAAGGGGGCUCAAAUCCAACGAAGCAACCAAAGUCCGAGUUGCAGUGAACGGCCGCGCCAGACUCAAAUCCCCAUCGAUCCCCACGGAGUUCUUCGGAAACUUAGUUCUCUGGGCUCACCCAAAAUCCACCGUGGAAGAGCUAACGCCGGCCACGAACGCCGUGAGUAUCAUACACGAGGCGGUGGAACGAAUCGACGACGCAUAUUUCCGGUCCUUUAUUGACUUUGGGGAUCAGAUGAAUAAGGGGGAGGAUUUGGCGGCGACGGCGCCGGCGAUGGGGAACUCGCUGUGUCCGAAUCUUGAGGUGGAUAGUUGGCUGAGGUUCAAUUUUCAUGAUCUGGAUUUCGGGACCGGGGCGCCGUGCGCUUUCCUUCCGCCGAAUUUGCCGGUGGAAGGGCUGAUGGUAUUUGUGCCGUCGAUGAAGGAGAAGGGAGGUGUUGAGGUGUUCAUGGCGUUGGCGGCGGAGCAUGUUGAGCAGUUCAAGAACAUAUGUUAUUCUUUGGAUUGAAGGAAAAGCUGGAUGCAGAUUAUUAGUUAUAAUUAUUGUACGUAGAAUUCUGUUAAGGCUGACAAGAUUGAAGCUGUCAUGGAGGCAGCACAGCCGAAGCGUGAAUGCCGGAUACUACUCGAGCAUGAAUUUUACUAUUUUCCUUUGAAAACUUUGAUGAACCGGAUGUUGAUCCAUGUUAGUUUCAUCAAUAUCAGCUCAAAUAAAAAGGCCGUCAUUUAUUUUUGUUUAGGAGCUGAAAUACAACUGCAUGUGACAACAGCUGACGCCUAUUUAAUGGAUCUGAAAGUCAUUUAUGCCGAAAGUAAACACAACGCUCAUUUGGUGAUUUAGAGCCCGUUUGGUGAGAUUUCGUGAAUCUCCCCAAACGUGGUGACGAAUUGAAACGCCGGCCGCGGGAAGCGGUCCAGGUCCUUUUUUUACUAGAAGAAAGAGUGGACUUACAGGUCAUUUAUGCAAAUAUGCAAUGGCUCCACACUGCAAAAAAUCAGAAAGGGGAAGACAGCAGAGAAGCGAAGAAUCUCAAUAAUUCGUAUAACCAAUCUCUACUCGCGAGUCAUUUGGAGGAGGAGAUGCACCGAGGAAUGGAGCUGCCGCGAAGGCUAUUUCUUUCACUCAUCGGAUCCGCCUUUAUUGUUGCCAUGGCUGCUGUUCUCCUCCGUUUCACCUCUAUCCGGAAGCCUGACCAACCGAUAAUGUAGACGGUGGAAGAAAUAGCUCCUUUCAAUAGAACGGAUGAUAAACUGUCGAUAUUAUUAGGAAUUCUUGGAAAACUCAUGGAUCUAGGUCUACAUGGGCAGGAGAAGCAUAGGAGUGGGAUUGCCUUAACGAUGUUGAUCGGGAAUGGAAAAUAUCACUUGAGAAAAAUCCAACACGGGAGCUACAUCGUCUGAAUGUGAAAAAUAAUAUAAUUGUCUUAUUAAUUGUAAUUUUAAUAGUUUUAGACUUUUUUUUUCACUCUUGAUGCUCGCUGUGAAAUGAGCUGCGUAUCUAUAAUUCUGUAUA